rnacentral:rRNA from 1 species
GUGAGGAAUAUUGGACAAUGGAUGGAAAUCUGAUCCAGCCAUGCCGCGUGCAGGAAGACGGCCCUAUGGGUUGUAAACUGCUUUUGUAUGGGAGCAAUAAGGGCUACGAGUAGCCUGAUGAGAGUACCAUACGAAUAAGGACCGGCUAACUCCGUGCCAGCAGCCGCGGUAAUACGGAGGGUCCGAGCGUUAUCCGGAUUUAUUGGGUUUAAAGGGUGCGUAGGCGGUUUUAUAAGUCAGCGGUGAAAUUUUCCGGCUCAACCGGGAUACUGCCGUUGAUACUGUAAGGCUAGGAUAUGGUUGCUGUGGGUGGAAUGUGUGGUGUAGCGGUGAAAUGCUUAGAGAUCACACAGAAUAUCGAUUGCGAAGGCAGCUCACAAAGCCAUUAUUGACGCUGAGGCACGAAAGUGUGGGGAUCAAACAGGAUUAGAAACCCCUGUAGUCC